UGGGGAAUAUUGGACAAUGGGCGAAAGCCUGAUCCAGCCAUGCCGCGUGUGUGAAGAAGGUCUUCGGAUUGUAAAGCACUCUAAGUUGGGAGGAAGGGCAGUAAGCGAAUACCUUGCUGUUUUGACGUUACCGACAGAAUAAGCACCGGCUAACUCUGUGCCAGCAGCCGCGGUAAUACAGAGGGUGCAAGCGUUAAUCGGAAUUACUGGUCGUAAAGCGCGCGUAGGUGGUUCGUUAAGUUGAAUGUGAAAGCCCCGGGCUCAACCUGGAAACUGCAUCCAAAACUGGCGAGCUAAAGUAGGGCAGAGGGUGGUGGAAUUUCCUGUGUAGCGGUGAAAUGCGUAGAUAUAGGAAGGAACACCAGUGGCGAAGGCGACCACCUGGGCUCGUACUGACACUGAGGUGCGAAAGCGUGGGGUGCAAACAGG
rnacentral:rRNA from 1 species